CAGCAGCCGCGGGAACACGUAGGGUGCAAGCGUUAAUCGGAAUUACUGGGCGUAAAGCGUGCGCAGGCGGUUUUGUAAGACAGAGGUGAAAUCCCCGGGCUCAACCUGGGAACUGCCUUUGUGACUGCAAGGCUGGAGUGCGGCAGAGGGGGAUGGAAUUCCGCGUGUAGCAGUGAAAUGCGUAGAUAUGCGGAGGAAUACCGAUGGCGAAGGCAGCCCCCUGGGCCAAUACUGACGCUCAUGCACGAAAGCGUGGGGAGCAAACAGGAUUAGAUACCCCUGUAGUCCCUGUCUCUUAUAC
rnacentral:rRNA from 1 species